AUUGAACGCUGGCGGAAUGCUUUACACAUGCAGGUCGAACGGCAGCACGGACUUCGGUCUGGUGGCGAGUGGCGAACGGGUGAGUAAUGUAUCGGAACGUGCCCAGUCGUGGGGGAUAACGUAGUGAAAAUUACGCUAAUACCGCAUACGAUCUAUGGAUGAAAGCGGGGGAUCGCAAGACCUCGCGCGAUUGGAGCGGCCGAUAUCAGAUUAGGUAGUUGGUGGGGUAAAGGCCCACCAUGCCAACGAUCUGUAGCUGGUCUGAGAGGACGACCAGCCACACUGGAACGGAGACACGGUCCAGACUCCUACGGGAGGCAGCAGUGGGGAAUUUUGGACAAUGGGCGAAAGCCUGAUCCAGCCAUUCCGCGUGCAGGAUGAAGGCCCUCGGGUUGUAAACUGCUUUUGUACAGAACGAAAAGGUUUCUACUAAUACUAGGAGCUCAUGACGGUACUGUAAGAAUAAGCACCGGCUAACUACGUGCCAGCCGCCGCCGUAA
rnacentral:rRNA from 1 species